GAUGAACGCUAGCGACAGGCUUAACACAUGCAAGUCGAGGGGCAGCGGGGGUAGCAAUACCCGCCGGCGACCGGCGCACGGGUGAGUAACGCGUAUGCAACUUACCUAUCAGAGGGGGAUAACCCGGCGAAAGUCGGACUAAUACCGCAUGAAGCAGGGGCCCCGCAUGGGGAUAUUUGCUAAAGAUUCAUCGCUGAUAGAUAGGCAUGCGUUCCAUUAGGCAGUUGGCGGGGUAAAGGCCCACCAAACCGACGAUGGAUAGGGGUUCUUAGAGGAAGGUCCCCCACAUUGGUACUGAGACACGGACCAAACUCCUACGGGAGGCAGCAGUGAGGAAUAUUGGUCAAUGGGCGCGAGCCUGAACCAGCCAAGUCGCGUGAGGGAUGAAGGUUCUAUGGAUCGUAAACCUCUUUUAUAAGGGAAUAAAGUGCGGGACGUGUCCUGUUUUGUAUGUACCUUAUGAAUAAGGAUCGGCUAACUCCGUGCCAGCAGCAGCCGCAG
rnacentral:rRNA from 1 species